rnacentral:rRNA from 1 species
CCUACGGGAGGCAGCAGUGGGGAAUAUUGGACAAUGGGCGCAAGCCUGAUCCAGCAAUGCCGCGUGAGUGAUGAAGGCCUUAGGGUCGUAAAGCUCUUUUACCAGGGAUGAUAAUGACAGUACCUGGAGAAUAAGCUCCGGCUAACUCCGUGCCAGCAGCCGCGGUAAUACGGAGGGAGCUAGCGUUGUUCGGAAUUACUGGGCGUAAAGCGUACGUAGGCGGUUAUUCAAGUCAGAGGUGAAAGCCCGGGGCUCAACCCCGGAACGGCCUUUGAAACUAGGUAGCUAGAAUCUUGGAGAGGUCAGUGGAAUUCCGAGUGUAGAGGUGAAAUUCGUAGAUAUUCGGAAGAACACCAGUGGCGAAGGCGACUGACUGGACAAGUAUUGACGCUGAGGUACGAAAGCGUGGGGAGCAAACAGGAUUAGAUACCCUGGUAGUCCACGCCGUAAACGAUGAUAACUAGCUGUUCGGGCACUUGGUGUCUGUAGUGGCGCAGCUACGACAUUAAGUUAUCCGUCCGUCGGGUAGGUACGGUCGCGAGAAGUUAAAACGUUAAAGUUAAGUAAGUUAGUAACGGUCGUGUUAGACGUGCCGAACGGACGACGACGAGGGAGGUUAGG